rnacentral:rRNA from 1 species
UGGCGGACGGGUGAGUAAUGUCUGGGAAACUGCCUGAUGGAGGGGGAUAACUACUGGAAACGGUAGCUAAUACCGCAUAACGUCGCAAGACCAAAGAGGGGGACCUUCGGGCCUCUUGCCAUCGGAUGUGCCCAGAUGGGAUUAGCUAGUAGGUAAGGUAACGGCUUACCUAGGCGACGAUCCCUAGCUGGUCUGAGAGGAUGACCAGCCACACUGGAACUGAGACACGGUCCAG